CUCCUCGUCGAUUCGUCCGCUGCUUUGGUGAAACCAAUACUAAUUCCAGUUCAUUUAACCCGGCCCCUUUUGAGUUCAUAUUGGCAAGUUGAUGGUUACUGAUCAUCUUUUGAAUGCUUUUUGGUAUCGUUGGGUGAAAGCGGUAAAGCUAAUGUUGAUCCAGAAAGUUUUUCUCAUAUUGACGACGUGGAGGUAUCUUUAUUCGUACAUCUAUCGAACACACUUUUCAGACUAAUUGUUGCUGUAUUUGAGCCUGGAAGUGUCCAGAUAUGUUAUUUGGGAUCUCUGACGCUCCAUUAUUUUUAGGUUGAUGGAUAUCAUAACAAUGAGGAAGCGACAUAGUACGAAAGUAUUAUUGGGAAGAAUCUCUAGCAACAUGAGGUAGUUCUUAGUCUGACUAGAGGGUCUACUGUCUGUUUCUUUCUAGCUUUCUUUUACAAGAACAAGCUACAAAGAAAGCUUUAGCAGCUUUGCAGUUAGAGAUGUUGGCCCUGGAGACAUACACUAUGAGAGACGGAGACUUAAUGAGGACACAAAGAACUCCACACCUGCUGAAACACCAUAAGAAACAUAUGGGACUUGGGUAAACAUCAAUGUCGAAGCAGUUGGUGGGUUGUACAAUGUAUGUUUUAUUCGUUCACGUUCGCUGAAUUUAUAAAUUCUUUGCCUAUGUGAGGUUAAUUGUCUAUUCACAAUUCAUGCUUAAUAUAUCAGUGUUACGUGGAAAUGCAAUUGCUACUUGCAUUGACUUUUUUCUUGUUUGCGUUGUUAUGUUUCCUGCUGUCGAAAUCUGUACUGUGGGCAGACUAAAGAUGAGGAUGUCUACAAUAUGACUAUGACAAUGUUGGUUUCUAAUAGCAAAAAAGUCUGAAAAAAGCAGCUCAACAAAAUUCAUUCUGAGUGUUGUCCCGCUCCUCUCUAUCCUCCAUCUAUAAACAUGAGUUGUUCAGAUCUGCGAAAGAAGAGAAGGGGACAAAUCUAGGGGAAAAGUUUGGUGAAAAAGAAGAAUGAGGAUUUUGAGGCUGCUCCGCCGUUCCAUUUGGUUUAGCUUCCCAAAAUCAAAGGGACAGGUUUGAAUUUCACGAUCUAAUAAUUGCAUAAUUUAGUGCUAUUUUUUGGCUUUACUUGAGUGUUUUUGGCUGGAUAGUCCUUUUUGAUAGAUAAACAUACCAAUCCUAAUUCUGGACUGAAGCUUCAGGAUGUUUCUCCGCUUCCUAUUCAUAUGGGUCGUUUGGUCAUCUUUAUUCUUCACACAGAUAUGCACAGGCAGAGCACAACAGCAUUCCAAACCGAGGCUGCUCAGCAUGUUUUGGUGUCCAGCAGAUUCCUUCUUUUCUCAUGUUUACUGUUGGCAUUAGCAUUUGUUUCAAGUGAUGUUUAUUCUCGUAUUUGUAAAGCAUUGAUUCAUUCAGUUCAGUAGCACCCAGCCUGGUGUAAUGUUUCUGAUUCUUGUGAA